rnacentral:rRNA from 1 species
UACAGAGGGUGCGAGCGUUAAUCGGAAUUACUGGGCGUAAAGCGCGCGUAGGCGGCUUUGCAAGUCGGGUGUGAAAUCCCCAGGCUUAACCUGGGAACUGCAUUCGAGACUGCAUUGCUAGAGUAUGGGAGAGGGAAGUGGAAUUUCCGGUGUAGCGGUGAAAUGCGUAGAUAUCGGAAGGAACAUCAGUGGCGAAAGCGACUUCCUGGACAGAAACUGACACUGAGGCGCGAAAGCUAGGGGAGCAAACAGG